rnacentral:rRNA from 1 species
UGGGGAAUAUUGCACAAUGGGCGGAAGCCUGAUGCAGCGACGCCGCGUGAGGGAUGACGGCCUUCGGGUUGUAAACCUCUUUCGACAGGGACGAAGCGGAAGUGACGGUACCUGUAGAAGAAGCACCGGCCAACUACGUGCCAGCAGCCGCGGUAAUACGUAGGGUGCGAGCGUUGUCCGGAAUUACUGGGCGUAAAGAGCUUGUAGGCGGUUCGUCGCGUCGUUCGUGAAAACCUACCGCUCAACGGUGGGCUUGCGGUCGAUACGGGCGGACUAGAGUACUUCAGGGGAGACUGGAAUUCCUGGUGUAGCGGUGAAAUGCGCAGAUAUCAGGAGGAACACCGGUGGCGAAGGCGGGUCUCUGGGAAGUAACUGACGCUGAGAAGCGAAAGCGUGGGUAGCGAACA